GACAUCUUAAAACAACCCACCGCUGAUGACCUUGAUGAUUUCAUCUUGACACAAUCAGAUUAUGAUUUGAUGAGAGAGGUAAACCCGAAUGAUCAAGUUGGAGGAUUUAGCGGCUGGAAUAGACACUCUAAAUUGAGAAGGCGAAUUAUCUCCAAACAAGAAAAACUCGCAACUACAUCUGAACUUUCUUCUAACACAGAAAUUACGACAGAUUCUUUGAAUACUCCUCCGCCAAUUAUCAUCA